rnacentral:rRNA from 1 species
GACGAACGCUGGCGGCGUGCCUAAUACAUGCAAGUAGAACGCUGAAGAGAGGAGCUUACUCUUCUUGGAUGAGCUGCGAACGGGUGAGUAACGCGUAGGUAACCUGCCUUGUAGCGGGGGAUAACUAUUGGAAACGAUAGCUAAUACCGCAUAACAAUGGAUGACACAUGUCAUUUAUUUGAAAGGGGCAAUUGCUCCACUACAAGAUGGACCUGCGUUGUAUUAGCUAGUAGGUGAGGUAAUGGCUCACCUAGGCGACGAUACAUAGCCGACCUGAGAGGGUGAUCGGCCACACUGGGACUGAGACACGGCCCAGACUCCUACGGGAGGCAGCAGUAGGGAAUCUUCGGCAAUGGGGGCAACCCUGACCGAGCAACGCCGCGUGAGUGAAGAAGGUUUUCGGAUCGUAAAGCUCUGUUGUAAGUCAAGAACGGGUGUGAGAGUUGAAAGUUCACACUGUGACGGUAGCUUACCAGAAAGGGACGGCUAACUACGUG